rnacentral:lncRNA from 1 species
GCUAUAGAGCAAUUAUUAUAGAGAGAAAUUAUAGAGAGAAAGAAGAAGAGAAGUCUGCUACCUCACUAUUCUAGUAUCCAGUUUCUUCUAAGAUAAGGGGUAUUAUUCUUUCGUAUUCAUGAAGAGAUUUAUUUUCUUUCAAUACUCAUAAGGGUUGUUAUUCCAUUCUUUAUUAUUAUGUUGGAAUAACCUGUCUAUGCGAAGUACCACAUACAUGGUGAAAUUCUUCU